AAAAAGUGAUUUUUUAAAAUUUUUUUUGAGAAAUGUUAUUUUAGUAACUAAAGGUAGCUUGACAAAUAAUAAAUCAAGUUGUCUUUAAUUGUUAAAUAAUACUAACAAAACUUUUUAAAAAAAUUAAGAUAGUUUACCUUCAAUCGUAAGUUGUCAAGUUAUUUUUAGUUGUUGAAAUAACAUUUCUCUUAUUUUUCAUUCUUAUUGUUUUAUAUUUUUUCCAUUGUAAAAACAAUUUGAAAAUAACAUAUGUAAUAAUAAAAAAAUGACAUUAUCAAUUAAAAAGUAUCAAUGUUCACUCCUUAAAAUAUAAGUUCAAGUGUCAUUGUUCUUGAUAUUAAUUAUCUUGCAUUCACCAUUUUUUUUUCUCCAUUUUUUUCGUUUAUAACUGGAAAAUACUAAAAUCUCUUGUAUCACCACUUAACUUAGAGAGUUAGAGAUUGUAUGAUGAGUAUUACAUUUGAAAUUGUUAUUUAAGAAAAUAAAUGGAGAGAAAUAGAAAAUGAAUGGUCUCAACUUUUUUUGUUCACUUAAAAAAAAUGAAGUAUGAUUCUAAUUUUAUUUUAUUUAUUAAAUGUCUUGUCCAGAUUCCACCUAAAAAUUAUAGAAGAGAUCUUCUUCACAUUCGAUAUCAUCUAUUCACAUGUCUGUUAUGUCGGUUUCUCAAUUUUUUUUUUAUUUUUUUUUAUUUAUUUUUUUAAGAUAUAACCCUAGUAUGUAUGUGUAUGAUGAGUUGUUUGAAUUGUUCCUACAUGAGAUCUAAAAAGUGUGUGUUUGUUUAAAGCUCUUUAAAAUUAUAUACUUUUUAUAUAAAAAAUAAAGAAAAUUUCUUUUUUAAUAUUCUAUUUUAAAAAAAAAAAGUUAUAUACAUAUAUAUAAUUGUUUCCAAAUUUAUACGUGUUGCUACUAAACAAAAAAUCAUCAACAAUAUAUGCAACAAUAAUCUAAAUCCAAAAACCAACACAAAUUAAAUUACCAAGACUUGGAAAGUAGCAGAAAGGAAAGAACAAGAAACUGGAGUUGUUUGAGAGCAGUUGUUAGUCGUUUUUAAUGUUGGUCGUUUUCGUCAAUUAUGUAACGUCUUUUUCAACUUCAGCCAAAAUCUUCUGAAAUAACGGCACCUAGCUAGAUACCUUUUAUACUCAUAAGGACCUCACUUUAUUAGAUUCGAGUAAAUUUAAUUUGGGUCUAUGAAAUUAUUCUUGAGAUAUAGCUUAGUCUAUAUAUUUUUUAGUAUUGUAUAAAUUAAUAAUAUCUAAACUAAUACUAUAAUUAUUUAUUGUUUUAUCGUUUCUUUCUUUUUUCCCUCUAUUUUUUAUGCUUUAUAACUUUAGUUUAAUUGGAUAUGGGCUUUCUAAGGUUUAAGUAUUAUUCUAUACAAAUAGUUAUUUAUUGAUAAAGUGUCUUCACGAGAAAAAGAUAUAUCUUUGUCACAAAAGUGGGUUAGCCCAAAUCAGAAACUAACCAAACUUAUUUUGGUGAAGUCCUUUUCAAGACCCAUAAAGAUUCUGACAAAAACAAUGACCCAAAAAGUUGAGAAGUCCUUUGCGAAUUGCAAUUACCGAUAGGAAAAAAAACCAUAUGACCUAAGUGGAAUGCAUAAUUUAAACCAACCAAAUAAUUAUGUCAAAAAAA